UUAAAAUGACAUACAAAAAUUAUCUUAUGUAAAAAAAGAGAUAACAACUAAAGAGUUUCUCACAAAACAAGUUUGUUUUUCUUUAUAUCUGAAUUAGUAUCACAAAUUUUUAAGAAUAUUGUAAACAAUUUGAUUAUAACAAAAAUUAAUUAAAAAAUACAUAUUUGUGUUACAAGUGAAAAAAGUUGACUAUUUCGUUGGAAUACGUUCACUCGCAUAAGCAAAAAAUUGGCAACGCAAAGAUUUUCCGAGCCCCUGGUAACAAAAUAUCAAAUUAGCGUAAAUUAGACAGAUUUAUUAUAUACAUUGUUAAAUUUGUAAUUUUAUUUUAUUUUAAAAUGUUUGUAAUAAACGUAAUAAAGUCACAGAUGUUUUUGUGAGACCAAUACGUGAAAGUGAAGAGGUUUUGAAAAGUGGGUUAGUCAUCUCUAUUGGCAAAAAAAGCCACUGCAACACAUGUACAAGUGCUUCCACUCAGAACCUUAUACUUGAACAGCUAGCAUCCAUAUUUGAUUCAAUUAUGGAUUGAUUUGUUUAAGGAUUUUGGCUCACGGCUUGUGAGUGAGCAGCCUUUGGAAUGUCAGUGUCCAGCUGGUCAAUCAAAAAUGUAAACACAUAGUCCAGUGACGCUAUUUUAUUAAGUUGCUAUUAAAUUAUUGGAUAUUCAUUAUAAAUUUUAUGAGAAAUAGUAUAAAAAUUUAUUUUAAUAAUAUCAAAUUUAUCUUCUUUUUUUAAAGUUGACAAAUCAGUACUAGGCCAUAGUAUUUUUAAACUAUACUAUGUAAAAUUACGAAAAGAUGUAGAAAAACCCAAGGCAGAAUGGGAUAACGGGGUAAAAUGGGACAGUACUAUUAUUUUCAUUGUAUGGUGCCGCAAUCGUACAAAAAAUUCGUUACAAUCAACAAAGUUAUCUCAGUCUUAUUAUACGAUCUGUUGAAGCAAUUCAAAUUUUUAACACCGUUGCGGCAGCGUACAAUAAAAAUAAUAAUACUGUCCCAUUCUACCUCACUAUCUCAUUCUGCCCCAGGUUCCCCUAUACAUAUAUGACAUAUAUUAUAUGUCAACACUACUAGAGGUUACAAAAAAGAUGGAGGAAUAAUAAUAUAAUUGACUGACAAAUUGCAGGCAUAUUCCAGACAUUGGAAUAAUGCUGAAACUUAAUUUAUAAUAUCAAUAAAUUACUGACUAUAUUACUGAUUCAUUUUACGCAAAUUUCACGAUUGGACACCGCACGAUUGGAUACCGAACAUUUGAAUAUGUAUGAUUAAAUUACACUAGUAAAGCAUACAUACCGCAUUAUUGCACACCGCACAAUUGGACACAUUAUUAAACACCGCAAACAAGGCAUUCUCUGCACCACAUAGGUUUGCGACUUUCCACGCAAAACAAGAUGCUCGUAAAAAUACGUAUAUAGACAGUAAAAAUUCACAUCUUUUCUGGCAGAGCGACGCUUUUUUCUAAGGUUAGAUAAUCUGUCAUAUAAAUGUUUUUCACUAAAAGGCUGUGCGGUGUCCAAUAAUGCGAUGUCCAAUCGUACGGUGUCCAAUAUUGCGGUGUCCAAUCAUGCGAUAUGUAUGUUUUACUAGUGUAAUUCAAUCAUACGGUAUCCAAACGUCCGGUGUCCAAUCGUGCGGUGCCCAAUCGUGCGGUGUCUAAUCGUACAAUGUGCGUGUCCAAUCGUGCUAUGUCCAAUCGUGUGUGUCCAAUCGAACCGUGUCCAAUCGUUACGUGUCCAAAAAGUAGUCAUCUCCGAUCGUAGAUACACUUGUUUUAUUCUUGUUAAAAAUUUGUGUGAUUUCAGAUAAUUCUCUCGCCUUCCCGAUUCCAUCCGUCCGUACCAAAUCUUUCCCUCUACCAAAUUUUAGGGUGAUGUCCGCGUUACUUUUAAUUAUUCGCCUGUUGAUUAGCGUUUACACGAAUAAGUGGUACGCUCCCUCGUACCUGGCGCCCAACUUUUCUUUCUUACGACACUUAUCAGAUUACCGUCGCCCCGUGACCCGGAUAAUGCAGGGCCGUGACAAAAAGGCGAAGUUGUUCGUCGCUCGUGAACGCGAUUACAAAGUAUAUACGGAAGUUUUUUUCCAUUUUUUUGCGAAAAUGACGUACAUAUUAAAAAGUUUUAUUUUUAGAAAAAAAAAAGAUAAAAAUUGUUGAUAACAGAAAAGGUUUAUAAUAAAUAUUAAAGUGAUGCUUUUUGUCGCCAGUGGUAUAUAAAAAUAAUAAAUUGAUAGAUUUAUUAGUCGACUGUCUGGCAAUCCGUUUAUUAGAGACACAACGUUUCGACCAUUGAUUUUGGUCCUCUUCAGGUGUACAUACAAAGUUUAAUUAUGACAUAACAGUUUAUACGUUUUCGGACCAGCGAAGAUAAAACAUGUUAUGUCAUUUUUAACAUGAUAAGCACUAAAAGUAAAUUGCGAUUACGCAUAGUGUGUAUUAUAUGUCGCAGAACUUAUAUCUAACGCAGAGACAUGACAACUCACGUCACACGAGUAAUAGGUCUGUGAGACGACUACUUUAUUUUUAUAAUAAAAUUAUAAUAAAAUUAAAAAUCCGUAUGUACUUCUGUGAAAAAUUCUGGGAGCGCUCCAAUUGAUCACAUCUCAAUUGACCACAAUUUUUUUUGGCGGUCUAACAAAAAAACUCUAAGUAUUCAUUGCUGUAAAUGAUUGUGGUCAAUUGCAACGUGGUCAAUCGGAUGCUCCCAAAAUAUCGAUCCAGAAAGGCAACUAUAUAGUGCCAGAAUAGCAGAUUAGUGAUAAAUUAAAGUUUUAUUUUAUUUAAGAAAUACCGUUACUUAAGACUAUAAACGCAUUUUUCUCGAAAUCGUACAGUAGAAUCGGACUGUCGAUGAACUCACUAAACAUCGGGCUUGUAGUAUUCACUCGCAGGUACGAAAUAGGCCCGGUAAAAGGGCCGAUUCUUAUAGUAGAACAAGAUUGGUCCCUGCCAAGUCGGUUAAAUAUCUGGGAGUAACCUUAGAUAAGAGGCUGACAUAGGGGGAACAUUUUGAGAAACGCUGUAAGAGCAUGUGCUCUUACCUCUGGACGUGUAGAAAAACUUUCGGUCAGACAUGGGGUCUGAAACCGAAAAUAGUCUAUUGAAUCUACACGGCGGUACUUUGACCCAGGCUACUAUACGCGUCUGUCGUGGGUAGUCGAGGGUGCUAAAGAAAACCGCCAAGGUAGCAUUGAAGCACGUCAGGUUUCUGGUUUUACGAGGGGCUCUGAGGAUCAUGCGGACCACACUGGUAGCGGCGAUGAGAGUGCUGCUUGGCGUUGGAACACUCGAUCGGGUGAUGGUGGCUGAAGUGUGAAUCGAGGUGGAAGGCAAGAGCCUUGCACACAAAACUACUCGGAGACAUACUGUCAAAUUCCAUUUUUGUGAUGGGAUAAGACAGGAGGUCGGUGAUUCGUAUCUUCGAGAGGAGGUACAGGAUAAGCUUUCCCGGGCACUAGAAUUGGAACGGUUCCAAGGAAUCCGUCCCCCGAGACGGGGACGUCUGGUUUAUAGAUAGCUCCAAAAUGGGCAUGAGCUCCAGGGUCGGUCUGUACUCCCAGCGUGAUGAUAUAAAGAUAACCGUUCCACUUGGAGAAUACGCUACGGUUUUUCAAGUGAAGGUGGUAGCAAUCAUGAGAUGUGCCCAGCCUAUUGAAAUUCGAUAGAGUAGAAAGGCGCAUCAAAAUCUGCUUGGACAGUCAAGCGGUGCUUAAGGCACUGGAGUGUCCGAGAAUUAACUCGCGGCUGGUCUGGGUGCGUACUGGACAAGGACAACGAUGGCCUAGUAUGAGUUUCCGGGCAUUCAAAGAUCAAGAGCAACGAAACGGCCGACUUAUUUGCCAGGGAGGCGGUAAAGUUGCUGGACCGGGGCCGACGCACAGUGGGGCAAAAAGUACUUUUUGUGAUUAAAAUUCAAGCCGCGCUCUAAUUCUUAACGGAUUCAAAGCAUUUUUUUUUUAAUUUGUUGGAAAUUGUAUAGCCUAUACAUAUUUUCUGCGGAAUUUUGUUUAUGUUUUAAAUAAAAAAUGGCGCAUUCAAAAUGCUGGCAUAAAAUGUCAAAACCGUACGAUUGCGGAUAAAUUUGCAACAAAAAAUGUAUAUAUUUACAGAAAAACGUUAUUAUGUGUUGUAUAGUCAAUAAUUAUAAGCUUCAAUUUAAAUUUAAAAAAUGGCGGAUCCAAGAUGGCGGAAAACAACAACAGGAUUUUAUGAAAUAUUUUAACAAAUAACAGAAUUUUUAUGAAAAACGACUUUUAAUAGGUUUUCGAAAUUGCUAAUUAUGAAUCAGAAUAAAAUGAUAAAAAUUAAUAAGACGAAUGCAGUAUAACGGAUAAGAAAAGAAAAAUCGUCUUUUGUUGUAUUAAUACAUAAUAUGAAUGCUAUUGUAUCAUAAAACAAUAUAUAAAUAUUCUAUUACAUAUAACAUCAAGAUUAAGAUAUUAAUCAUGAGGAUAGGUUUUUUAGGCUAUAUACACAUAUAUUUUUUAAAUUGUAUUGUUUAUAUUAAACAUUUUUUUGGUUUAUUAUUUUUUAGCUUUUUUUACAUUUUACAUUUAAUUUUUAAGUGUUAAGAAAAAAAUUAUUUUACAUUUACCUUACUAAUAACUGUAAUAUAUCCUCGUCUAAUUCUAUUACAGUUUUCCGAGAGUUACUUCUAAGACUUGUAAUAUAUGGAUCCGAUGUAAAAAAUUCUUGCGCAUCUUCGGACAACUGUCCAAGUGGUAAAAUGGCAUUAUAACGAAUAAUAUCCUCUCCAUGAAUUAGUACUUUAUGUACAGAUGAAGGCAUAUAAUACCAUUUAUAUUUAUUUACAUACAACUCUGCUGUUCUAUAAGCAUAUUCACCAAAUUUUUGAGCAUUUAUUUGUAUUCCAGAAGCCAUAGUUUGCAAUAAAACAUGAAAUCGUCUUAUCAGUUCUUCAUUUACUCCUGUAAUGUCAGCAGUACAAGCUUCAUUGCCAAAAAAUCUACGCGCAGUAUUACCAUCAUUACUGUUUCCACUAACUUGGCGUGGUUUAUCAAUGAUUAAACCUAGUUCAUCUCGAAACCGUUUUUGUACAUAUCGCUUUUUGAUUUCUCUCUCCUUUUUGUGUACAUCAGUUGUUGCAGACCAUUUUUGGAAGGACAAGUUAUAUGAUAUAUGCAAAACCAACUCCAUAAAUCGAAUCCAAGCAUGUAACGUGGAAAGUUCAAAUCUGUAGGUUUCUUCAUUUGGAACCUUUUGUAUUAUGCAAUUUAAAUCGUUCAUUUGUGAUGGUUUGGCUUGACAUACAUUGCAAGUUGAAGCAGAUGGUGUGUUUGUUAAUACUUGUAUUACCUUUCCAUCUAUCAUUGUUAAGAACAAUUUAUGUUUUACCGCCACUGUUUUAUCUUCAAUUAUAACUGAAGUAGGUAUAAGUACACGUAUCUGUGCUUCAAUAUCAUGGAUAAGAUUGUUUGUUUUUUCUGGUGUCUCUUUCGCAAAUUCCAUAGAAAUAGGUCGACAAAAUCGAACGGAAGAAGGGGUUGGAUUUUGCCAAAUAACAUUAUUUGUGUCCUCAUCAACUAAUCUUAUUGGGACCAAAGAUGAUAUUAAUAAAUUGGCAUCAGAAAUUAAUUCACUCUCUCCGGAAAGUAUUUGUUUAUAUUCACUUUGUCCAGAUGAACCAUCACAACCCCAUUUACUGUAUAAAAUUAAGUUUUGUGAAUUCAUUAUUUGAAGGGAAUUUAUCAUUAGCAAUCGAUUAGUAGUAUGA